GAGAUUUUCAGUAGAAAUACAAGACAUUUGCAUUUACUUAACCUGCUGCAUAUUUGCAUUUUUCUAUACAGGAGGAGGAGGAGAGAGAAACCUCUGGUCAAGAAGCCAUUUUCAUUGGUGGACCCUUGAUAUUGGUUCCAGGACCCACUAUGGAUACCAAAAAUGCAGUUUCUCAAGUUCUUCAACAUUUUAUAUACUGUAUUAAGGACUUAAGCCCACUUACCAUUUUAUAUACAUGCUUACUUCCGUGACCUGUCUGAGCAGUAAAGGCAGCAGUAGCAGUGGCAGCCUUCAUGUGGCAGCCUGGCUGCCAUGCCUUCAUGAGGCACCAGUUCCUGGCAUGUUUUCUUGGUGUUCCCUCCUUCUGCUUGAAGGCACCAUAGCUGUGCAGCUGUGUGAAGGCUAAUGCUGCAGGGCAAGGGAGCCACAGCUGGGCAAAGAGAUCUCAGAUGUUAUUUAUUUAUUUAUUUGCAGCAUGCAGUGGGUUAAAUUUGUAGAUGUGGCGCCCAUGGAUAGGGCCCACUUUACUAUAUUAGGAAUGUACAUGCCCACUUUAGCUGGUUUCUCUAUCUCGAUUAAUCCCUACAGCAAUAUGAUAAAGUAGGAUUAAUGAGAGCUAGACAUGGCCAUAGAGAGAUUAUUUAUUCCAUGCAUAACGUGAAAUUUGAACUUGGAUCUCUCUGUUCCAGUUACAGUACUUUAAGCACUACUCCACACUGGUUCUUUCAGAUCAGUUGCAACUGUAAAAAUGGUAUGUUUGUGUGAAAAAAUGUAACAAGUAAUGUCUCCAAUCUGCACAAUUAGAACUCAAAUAAGAAUAAUUUGCCUAAUUAGAACAAUGUAUCCAAUAUGCAAAUUUGGUAGCCAAAUCUAAGGAAUUGGAAUAUAGCAACUUUAUCUAUAUUUAUAAUUAGUUUUUGAAACAGGGUGUUAACAAUUAAUGUCUGCUUGUUUGUGCUGUUAAUACUCCCUUAGAUCAGGAGCAAUUUUUCUUGUAGCUUAACUUCAGAAAUUAAUUUGCUUUAAGAAUGGUUUAUUCAAGAUCAUUUGACAUUAAUGCAUAGUUUUGGAGUGCAGACUUUCUUCUGGGAUAAAAUGGGAUAAAAAUAUUGAAAUAAUUUCAUGUGAGAUACUCUCUCUCUCUCUCUCUCUCUCUCUCUCUCUCUCUC